AACUGAUACUACCUGCGGGAACCUGCGGAAGGAUCAUUAACGAGUGUAACUUACCCUUUUUUUUAAAAGAGGGUAGUACCUCCUGUCCUUUGUAGGCCCCUUUUUAUUGGGGGGCUUUUUAAGACUUUCUGCUUCGGCGGGGUUAUUCCCGCCGGAACACCCUCAAAAAACUCUUCAAAAACUAAUUCAGUCCGAGAAUUUUUGAAAAUAAAAAAAACUUUCAACAACGGAUCUCUAGAU
rnacentral:misc_RNA from 1 species